CAGCCGCCGCGGUAAUACAGAGGGUGCGAGCGUUAAUCGGAUUUACUGGGCGUAAAGCGUGCGUAGGCGGCUAAUUGAGUCGGAUGUGAAAUCCCCGAGCUUAACUUGGGAAUUGCAUUCGAUACUGGUUAGCUAGAGUGUGGGAGAGGAUGGUAGAAUUCCAGGUGUAGCGGUGAAAUGCGUAGAGAUCUGGAGGAAUACCGAUGGCGAAGGCAGCCAUCUGGCCUAACACUGACGCUGAGGUACGAAAGCAUGGGGAGCAAACAGGAUUAGAUACCCGUGUAGUCCCUGUCUCUUAUAC
rnacentral:rRNA from 1 species